GGCUAGUGUCCUCGCCACAGGCGCCGCUUUUUGUUGUCUGGGGCUGGGAGGCCGCCACCACAUUUGGGGGCGAAGCGGGGGGGCUGCGGCUAUCCUGAGCGCCGGUCAGCGCCUUCCGGCUCCCUGUGGUGCCAGGUCAUUGAGUUUUGACCAUUUGGGACUCCUGAACCUACGGACUGUGACCUCAGAGCAGCACACACACUUGCCCCAUGCACAGUGGGUGCACAUUCCCUCCACAUUCUCUUGACCGGGCAGCAGACUUGGUUAUUUCACGGCUGUUGAUAAGGACCCUAAGGAGAACCCAUAGUCUCUGUGCCGCUUCUCCGAGUCUCAUUCCUUUGAGACUCCUUCACGUGCCUCCAGGAUCCCCCUGCUUAAGACACUUGUCCAGAAAUCCAGCUUGGCUCAAAUCAAGAAGGCGCCAUUUACUCAUUGAGCACUUGUGGCUGAAAAGUCAGCUGCCCUUCUGAGUCAGAAGAUAACCUCGUCAUGCUUCUUCCAACAGCAAACUUUGCUGUGCUUCCCCAGCUGUGAGCAUGAUUCAUCAGGUGGCACCACCGCUGCAUGGCUGAGAGUCAGUCUAUUGUUCCACGCGGCCCAGUACAGGACUGGGGUCAGGCCCCAGAGAGCUGGCCGGCAGGGAUGGCUGAGAAGUCUCUCAGGAGCACAGAUUGCUGUUUACUCCUGGAUGAAGUGUUUUCAAGGCAGGUCAUCAAGAAGGGGCUUGUGGGCUCCAUGAAGGCCUUGCAGAAGCAGUACGUGUCCUGGGACAUGGUGGUGACGAGUAAGGAUGCCGACGCCAACACCGUGUACAGUGCCGUGGAGGCCAUGUUCAUCCAUGGUCUGCACACCAAGCACAUCCUCACCGAGGAGGGAGACAAAAGGAAGAAGCGUGCCCAAUGGAAGCCCUUGCCGCAGCCUGCCUUCUGGCCCCUCCUGAAAGCCGUCACCCAGAACUUCCAAGGGUGUUGUCAGAAUUCAUCAAGGCCCAGAUGGACUCUGUGCCAACCUGCCAACUAAACCAGGAAGCAGCAAGCCCUGUGCCGCCCGGCCUGCACUCAAGCACACGCCCGCACUCCACCACAUUAGUUCAGCCCUGCCUGCCCCGGCCUUCUCCUGCGCUCCUCCAGAUGGUGGCUCCCCAGACUUGCCACCACCGGGAACUGCCCCUGUUGUCUCUGCAGGGAGCACUCCAUGCCAGUAGCCUUCAAGUCUGGUGGGUGAACUGACCAGCACAGCCCGCCAGGGAGCCACCAGCCAGAGCUCCGGGAGGGUGGAGCCGGACUGAGAAUCGUGGUUCCCUCACCUGCAGCCCAGUGAGUAGUGCGAGCUGUGGGUGGGGUGGAAGGGCCCCAUGAAAUGUCUCAGCUAGUGACUCUGAGUGGUCCCUGCCUUUUCCCCAUUAGCCCUGGGUCCCCUCCCAGUGCUGGGAUUCAUUGCCUGGCAAUGAUGGAGCCCGGGCUUCUGGGUGUAAGUCAAGGAGAUGAGGCAGGCACAGUGCUGGACACUUCCUGUGGGUGUGUCUUGUCAACGCAUAUCAACCAUGGGGGGAAGCUAAUGCUCAUCUUAACACAGACUCCACGCUGAGGCUCAUCUGUGCCAAAAUAGUUUCCAAAGGCAAGACACUUUGCUCACUGAGCCUUUAUUUUCCCUCAGCCCAUAUUAAAUUAACAGUUCAUAAAAUUCUCAUUCUGCGACAUGAAUCAGGUUUAGAACUACACACUCUCCAGGGACUGGAGCGAUAAUACAAUGGGGAGGGGGCUUGUCUUGUGACAUGGCCAACCCACGUUUGACCCCCGACAGCCCAUAUAGUCCCCAAGCACCACCAGGAGUGAUUCCUGAGUGCAGAGUCAGAAGUAAGCGCUGAGCAUUGCCAUGUAGGGUACAAAAGACAAAGGAACCACAUUGUCUAAUAAUCUACCAGUGAACACUUGAAAGACGGCUAGUCCUGGGCUGGGGAGAUAGCUCUGUGGUCAUGGGUUGCAUGCCUUGCGUGCACAGGGACUCAUUUUCACUUCCCGGUUCCUCAUGCUUCAUUCACCACAUGGCAUGAGUCCUAGCACUGGCCCGUCCAGCCCAGUUGACCGAGUAUCGCUGAAGUAGUCCAGUGUGUUGAUCAUCCAAGGGAAGCCAGCCAUAUGCAGCUCCUGGGAGAACCCUGCGUGGGCCCUUGUGAGCUUAGACCAGGGCUAAGUAGUCCCGCUGGGAGGCCACACCCUUGCUGCUUCACAUUUUUUCUCAGGAAACAGGUGAAGAUUCCCAGAGAAAAUUAUGGAUCUUUUAUAGUGACCCUUCUGUUUGAAAGAGAACUUGUGACUUUAUUAGCAGCAAACGAUGCAUAGAAAAUAAACUUUGUGAUUUUACUCAAUACCAAAUAGAUUAAUGUGUACUCUCUUAGGGUGUUUUUUGGCACAUUCCUCUGGUGCUCAGUUUCUACUCCUGGUGUGGUGCUCUGGGUACCAUGGGGUGCUGGGGACUAAACCUGGAGCUGCUGCAAGCAAAGUAAACACUACAGGUCUUUGAGCUAUCUCUCCAGCCCUUACUGAGGUUUUUUUUUUUAAUAUAUUAAAUUUUUUUAAUUUAUUUUAUUGAAUCACCAAGUGGAAAGUUACAAAGUUCUCAGGCUUAUAUCUCCGUUAUACAAUGCUCAAACACCCAUCCCUUCACCAGUGCCCAUAUUCCACCACCAAUAAAAACAAAAACAAAACAAAAACAAAAGCAAAAACAAAAAAGAACAGUAUACAUCCCACCCCUCACCCCCCAAACCCCCCGUGCGUGAGUGAUAAUUUCACUUCCUUUUCUCUUUACCUUGAUUACAUUCCAGAUUUCAACACACAACUCACUAUUGUUGUUAGAGUUUCAAAACAGACUCACUAUUUUUUUGGAAUUUAUCCCCCAAGAAUACAGCUCUAUUAACAAGGAAAUAUUUGAUAAUAAGAUUUCCACUGAUGAGAAUGAAGCAAUAAAAUGUCGGUUUACAAUUUCUGUAUUAUAGUAAUUAAGUCCGCGGAGAUUUAAGUUGGAAAAUGAAUCAUUUACCUUCCUGGACCAGCAUGUAGCAAAAGCUUAGUUCACAGUCUCCAUACAUGGGUGCAAGCACUUGCUGGAACCCCAAAUCCUAAAUUGUCUCUGGUUCCCGCUCGUUCCACAUCCACCGGCUGUGCAGAGGCAUGGGCACCCGGGCGAAACCGGGCCGGAGCCCAGCACCGGCCCCAGCGGGGACUCCCUUACUGAGGUUUUUUGUUUGAUUAUUUGUUUUCUUUGUUUUCUUUGGGCCAUACCCAACAGUGCUCGGAAGUUACUCCUGACUCUGUGCUCAGGGGACCAUAAUGGAUGCUGGGGAUCAAACUGAGGUCAGCCGCAUGCAAGGCAAGCCCCCUACCCACUGUACUGUCUCUGCCCCCUGAUUUUUUUUUUUUUGUAACCAAGAAAUCUGAAGCUUCCAAUUAGAGCCUCUCAUUAGCACCACAACCAGGUUGGCAACUUUGAAAUCUAGAAUGUGAGUAAACACAAAUUUUAAUAGCUUCGUGUAAUCUGCACACACUUUGUGACUCAGUAAAUGUGUUACCUCAGGCUGUGUAUCAUAUGUGCCCACAAACCAAAAUGGGUACAAGGCUUAAUAUAUGAAAGAAAAUUAUGUGGCCCCUUGAUAUUCUGAGGGAAAUAAUGCCACCUCUCAAAAUGGGCACGGACAAGUGCCCAGGUCACUAGCCCCCAAGGAAGAAUGUAGCAGUGUGUUAGUCGAAGGGACAGAUGUUCCGUGGUUGUUGAUUUGACUUGAGCAUUGGUGGAAAAGGUCCGGUGUGAGGUCAGCUCCAGGUGGCUGGGCCAGGGAAAGGGAAGGCAGCUGCCCAGUGAUGCUCAGGGGUUACUCCAGCUCUGUGCUCAGAAGGGUACAAGGCAAACGCCCUACUGCUGUGUUCUCACUUCAGCUCCACUUCUUAGAUUUGUAAUUCUUUGACAUGUUUAUUUUGUGUGUGUGCAUAUGUGAUCCGAGGGGUUGAACCUAGGACCUCACACUUAGAAGCCUGUGCUCUGCCACUGAACCAUAACCCUUCCCCCUGGCCCCAACUACUACCACUUUCUUUUUAUUUUAUUAUCAUUAUUAUUAUUAUUAUUUGCUUUUUGGGUCAUACCUGGCGAUGCACAGGAGUUCCUCCUGGCUCUGCACUCAGGAAUUACUCCUGGUGGUGCUCAGGGGACCAUAGGGGAUGCUGGGAAUCGAACCCGGGUCGUCCGCGUGCAAGGCAAACGCCCUACCCGCUGUGCUAUUGCUCCAGCCCCUACCACUUUCACGUAACACA